AAGCUUCCACUCUUUCUUGUUUGUUGGAGAAAUUCAAGCAAAUCAUCCCCAUGGAAGUUGGGCUUUGAUUUUUAUACUCCUGUUGUAGAAUAAUGGCAAAUCAAACAGGAAAGCUUUACAACAUGGGAAUAUAACACAACUCAAAUUUAAUUAUUUUUUGAGUAAUUGAAAUGAUUCUAAUUUAAGCUGAAUUUUGCCAGAUGAUCUUACCAUGAAAUGAUUCACUGAUGUGAUUUUUUCAAUGUAGGCAAGGAGGAGCUUCAGAGCACUCAGGGGUCUGGUGAGGCUACAGGGAGUCGUGAGAGGCCAGAAUGUGAAGCGCCAGACAACAAAUGCAAUGAAAUGCAUGCAGCUGUUAGUGCGGGUUCAGUCACAGAUUCAGUCCCGGAGGAUCCAGAUGUUAGAAAACCAGGCACUCCAACGUCAAUCUCAAUACAAAAAUGACAAGGAACUGGAGAGCAGCAUAGGCAAAUGGGCCUCAAGCCAGCCAGUAAGUUUCCCUUUGUUUGAUUUAGUGUUGGAUUGUUUUUCAUUAUUAGAAGAGCACAUGCUUAAGGAUCAUUUGAUCGCUAUAGUCAAAGGGAAGACACUCAUCUACAUGAAAUCAUGCUUGUUUUUCGAUUUUGUUCUGUGUUUCAAUUAAGAUUAGUACAAUUGAUGAUGGGAUGGCAUUUGUACAGUCUGAGGCAGGUAACAAUGAAGACUGGGAUGAUAGCCAGCUGACGAAAGAGCAAAUAGAAGCUAGGUUGCAGAAAAAGGUGGAGGCAGUCAUCAAGAGAGAAAGAGCCAUGGCCUAUGCAUAUUCCCACCAGGUACUACUCUAUUAAUAUUAUUGGACAAUCAAUUUUUCGACAAGUUUAGGUUUUUACAAUUGGGGCAUACAAUGUAAAUAACAUUUUCUAACACCCUCCCUCACAUGCGGUCUCAUGCUUGCAUGUGGAGAAACAAAUAGUCCAAUAGGCAAAGAGCUCAAUAAAUUCAGGGAAAUAAAAGUUGCUGUGAAGUUUGAGUCUAUGACCUUUCUUUAAAGGGGGUUCUAAUACUGUAUCCGGUAACCAAUUUUCCCACAAGUUUAAGCUUUAAGGUUCAAGUCAUAAUGUAUAUCAUUCUUUCUAAUAGAUGCUACCCAGUUCAUAUUUUAUUUUAUCAUGUCGGAUAGGCUUCACUAACCCGAAUGACUUUUAGGCCUGGACAUUAGGAUACUGUUUAUCCAAUCAAGUAAAAUUUUAGUUCUGGUUGCCCUUUUCCAGUUCUUACACAGAAUAGAUUCCUGCACUCUCUAUACCUUUUCAAUUAUCUGAUAUCGUUUUAUGAUUUCACUAACCUGUGUUGACAGUUGUGGAAAGCCACCCCUAAAUCAGCUCAAGCAUCUAUAAUGGAUAUCCGAUCUGGGGGAUUCCCAUGGUGGUGGAACUGGUUAGAACGUCAGCUCCCUCCGGCAAAUCCUCCUGAAAGUCAAGCCACCAAGAGCAUCCUACUAACACCCACAAGACCGACUCCAGAUCUCAGGCCAAGUCCUCGACCCCAAGCAAGCAACUACAGGCAACAGAGUUUCGGGUUUGACAAUCUUGAGUCACUCACACCAAAGUCCUCAAAAUCAGCAGUACCUGCAAGAGCAAAGACCCCUCCAAAUAGAGUGCCACAAGCGAACGGCUCAAAUCUAUCAAGAUAUCCAAAGCCGAGAGCUAGUGCAGCUGAUUCUACCUUUGAUGUGCCACUGAGAGAUGAUGAUAGCCUCACCAGUUGCCCGCCAUUUUCAGUUCCAAACUACAUGACUCCAACAGUGUCAGCUAAAGCCAAAGUGAGAGCUAACAGCAACCCCAAGGAGAGGUAUCCAGUGACUCCCAGUGCUGAAUCAAAGAGGCGGCUUUCGUUCCCUUUGGGUCAAGGCAUUGGGU
rnacentral:lncRNA from 1 species